rnacentral:tRNA from 1 species
GGGGUUGUAGCUCAGUGGUUGAGUAUGUACCUCUGUGCACAAGGCCCUGGGUUUGAACACCAGCACUGCAA